UACAGAGGUCUCAAGCGUUUGUUCGGAUUCAUUGGGCGUAAAGGGUGCGUAGGUGGCGCCGUAAGUCGGGUGUGAAAUUUCGGAGCUUAACUCCGAAACUGCAUUCGAUACUGCGGUGCUUUGAGGACUGGAGAGGAGACUGGAAUUCAUGGUGUAGCAGUGAAAAUGCGUAGAGAUCAUGAGGAAGACCAGUGGCGAAGGCGGGGUCUCUGGACAGUUCCUGACACUGAGGCACGAAGGCCAGGGGGAGCAAAACGGGG
rnacentral:rRNA from 1 species